rnacentral:rRNA from 1 species
UACGUAGGGCGCAAGCGUUGUCCGGAAUUAUUGGGCGUAAAGGGCUCGUAGGCGGCCAACUAAGUCGGAUGUGAAAUCCCCAGGCUUAACCUGGGAACUGCGUUUGAAACUACAAGGCUAGAGUGUGGCAGAGGGGGGUGGAAUUCCACGUGUAGCAGUGAAAUGCGUAGAGAUGUGGAGGAAUACCGAUGGCGAAGGCAGGCCUCCUGGGCCGAACACUGACGCUCAUGCACGAAAGCGUGGGGAGCAAACAGG